UGGCCGCUCACCGACAGCCAUGGCUUCACUAGGACAAGUCGUAGGGACAUCGGGCAACCCAACCAGGGGUCCAGCAUCAAGGGAUGACAACAUCGAUGGCUAGAAAAAGAAGAAAACAAGGCCAAAAAGUAGGAGCUGAAUAGGGAUUUUUAUUUUCAAUGGAUUUUCGAUGAAAUCGAUAGCCAUCGAUCACGCUUAAAAUCAUGAGGAGGAAGGAAAGAGAGAGAGAAGGUGAGAUCGAGGCCUUACCUCAGCUCCAAUGGCAACUAUAGCUUCAAUUUCUGGUGACCAAAGUGAAACUUAAAUCGGCAAAAAGUAGGAGAAAGAAGAGAGAAGAAGGUUGGAUGCUUGCGACGGAGGAAG
rnacentral:lncRNA from 1 species